rnacentral:rRNA from 1 species
GGGCUUAGGAUGAACGCUAGGCGGCGCAUUUAAGACAUGCAAGUCGAACGAAAACACUCAAUUGAAAUCGAUUGAAGAUUAUCUGAUAUGAAGUUUCGCCCGAGUGUUUAGUGGCGGACGGGUGAGUAAUACGUAGAUAACCUGCCUUAUAGACAGAAAUAACACUGGAAACGGUAGCUAAUGUCUGAUAAGACCACACUUUAGGCAAUCUAAGAGGGGUCAAAGGGGUAACCCGCUAUAAGAUGGAUCUACGGCUGAUUAGUUAGUUGGUGAGAUAACAGCCCACCAAGACGAUGAUCAGUAGCCGAGCUGAGAGGCUGGCCGGCCACAUUGGGACUGAGACACGGCCCAGACUCCUACGGGAGGCAGCAGUUGGGAAUAUUGGACAAUGGAGGAAACUCCUGAUCCAGUGACGCCGCGUGAAGGAAGAAGGUCUUCGGAUUGUAAACUUAUUUUAUCAGGGAAGAAACAAAUGACUGUACCUGAAGAAAAAGGACCGGCAAACUACGUGCCAGCCGCCGC